rnacentral:rRNA from 1 species
CCCGACUGCUAUUUGGGUGAGGAUAAGCCAUGCGAGUCGAAUGGGAUACCUAAAAUUCCCAUGGCAGACUGCUCAGUAACACAUGAUCAACUUACCCUACGGAGAAAAAUAACCUCGGGAAACUGAGGAUAAUGAUUCAUAGUUGAAAAGGCUUGGAAAAGUUUUUCAAUGAAAUGGAUAAGAAAAAUGGUUCUUAUUUGCCAUAGGAUAGGAUCGUGCUUGAUUAUGGUUGUUGGUGAGGUAAAGGCUCACCAAGCCGAUAAUCGAUGGGGGCCGUGAGAGCGGGAGCCCCGAGAUGGGUACUGAGACAACGACCCAGGCCUUACGAGGCGCAGCAGGCGCGAAACCUCCGCAAUACACGAAAGUGUGACGGGGUUACCCAAAGUGUUCAUUUCUGAACUGUGGUAGGUGAGUAAUGUCCCCUACUAGAAAGGAGAGGGCAAGGCUGGUGCCAGCCGCCGCGGUAAAACCAGCUCUUCAAGUGGUCGGGAUAAUAUUGGGCUUAAAGUGUCCGUAGCCUGUUUAGUAAGUUCUUGAUAAAAUCGGGUAGCUUAACUAUCCGCGUGCUAGGAAUACUGCUAUACUAGAGGGCGGGAGAGGUCUGAGGUACUACAGGGGUAGGGGUGAAAUCUUAUAAUCCUUGUAGGACCACCAGUGGCGAAGGCGUCAGACUGGAACGCGCCUGACGGUGAGGGACGAAAGCCAGGGGAGCGAACCGGAUUAGAUACCCGGGUAGUCCUGGCCGUAAACGAUGCAUACUAGGUGAUGGCACGGCCAUGAGCCGUGUCGGUGCCGUAAGGAAACCGUUAAGUAUGCCGCCUGGGAAGUACGGUCGCAAGGCUAAAACUUAAAGGAAUUGGCGGGGGAGCACCACAAGGGGUGAAGCCUGCGGUUCA